rnacentral:lncRNA from 1 species
UUACGGAUUCCCCUAAGUGGAUUUAAUAUGGUAACUGGAAGGGCACCUGAGGUUUCCCUGUACCUACAUGUGGUUGGUUAUGGAUAGUACUUGCAAGUAUGGUUGGUAUGAUCAUACCACUACUAGAUGGCCUUGGUUCAAUAAUGGUAAGUUGAUUUCUAGGAAAUAGUUUUAAUUGGGCAUUAAAGGGGGAGCUGUAGCUAAACUGUGGAAGGUAGAGGUCCUGCGGAGACCAAAUC